CCAAAAGCCGUCCCCUUUUAUUAGAAGACAUUCUGACUCUUCUUGUUGGUUUUUUUCUUCCGCCGACGGCGAAAUCCUUCCGUCUCCGGCGGCCGCAGAGAAUGCAACGAGGGCUGGCUCCCGGCCCUCUCCGAACCGGAGCUCGAUUUUUCUCAUCAGCUUGAAGAAAGCGGACGUUUCGGGAACCAGACGGCGGCCAGCUAGUUCACAUCCAAUGCAGUCCAGCUCCAGACCACAGUGGUGGCUGCCAGGGCAGACUUUCUUCUGGCCUGCAGUUCUUGCCGAGAAAUUGCCAAAGAUUUGAUCUGCCUAAGGCGGCUAGCUACUUCUCUGUACCUUUUUCAUGUCCUAUCAUCAUCAUCCAUUAUAACAUGGCAUGUUUCGUGUUGUAAUAGAUACUGUGGCUACAUGUUUCAGUUAAUGAACAUUGUCUUCGUUUACAGGAGGCUAUCCGGUGUUAUGGAGCUUUUGUCCUCGAAGCAACCAAACUGCCCCCAGCUGUACAUAUACAGCUCUGCAGAUCGUGUUAUCCCGGCAAAGUCAGUGGAGUCAUUCGUGGAGAGACAACCAAGAGCGGGGUGUGAGGUGAGGUCUUGCGACUUGUCUCAUCGCCCCAUGUGGACCAUUACCGGAGCAAUCCAGGGCUCUAUACCUCUCAGCUGACUAACUUCUUGGAGGACUGUGUGCUGAGCCAACGCGAGGACUCUUCGCCAUCAUCAUCGCCUGCGUAGGAUGUUCUUUGCAGGAGAAUACAAACAUAUUUGUCCCUGGUGAUCCAUUGAAAUGUACCAGGAUCAUAUGAGGAUUAAUUAUACAUCUGACCCAUUUCCUUCUUCUUUUUUCUGGUCCGCUCGUGGGUUAGCUUUGGGAGGCACAAUUGUAAAAAAAGAAGCAGCAAAAUUGUGGCUUACUGACACCGUGCACCAACCAUUCAUUUGUCUGGAUGAUAGAUUUGUUUGUUUCUUUGCACAUACUU